AAUGAACGUUGGCGGCGUGGAUUAGGCAUGCGAGUCGUGCGAGAACCGUAGCAAUACGGGGACAGCGGCGAAAGGGAGAGGAACACGUGGGUACCUACCCUCAGACUCAGGAUAGUCAUGGGAAACUAUGAGUAAUACUGAAUAAUGUCUUCGGACCAAAGGUGUGAUUCCGUCCGAGGAGGGGCCCGCGUCCUAUUAGCUAGUUGGUGAGGUAACGGCCCACCAAGGCGAAGAUGGGUACGGGAUGUGAGAGCAUGAUCCCGCUCAUUGGGACUGAGACACUGCCCAGACACCUACGGGUGGCAG
rnacentral:rRNA from 1 species